UGCAUAUCAAUAAGCGGAGGAAAAGAAACCAACAGGGAUUGCCUCAGUAACGGCGAGUGAAGCGGCAACAGCUCAAAUUUGAAAUCUGGUCCUUGCGGCCCGAGUUGUAAUUUGCAGAGGAUGCUUUUGGCGCGGUGCCUUCCAAGUUCCCUGGAACGGGACGCCUUAGAGGGUGAGAGCCCCGUACGGUUGGACACCAAGCCUUUGUAAAGCUCCUUCGACGAGUCGAGUAGUUUGGGAAUGCUGCUCUAAAUGGGAGGUAUAUUUCUUCUAAAGCUAAAUACCGGCCAGAGACCGAUAGCGCACAAGUAGAGUGAUCGAAAGAUGAAAAGCACUUUGAAAAGAGGGUUAAACAGCACGUGAAAUUGUUAAAAGGGAAGCGCUUGUGACCAGACUUGCGCCCGGUGAAUCACCCAGCUCUCGCGGCUGGGGCACUUUGCCGGCUCAGGCCAGCAUCAGCUUGCCGUCGGGGACAAAAGCUUCGGGAACGUAGCUCUCUUCGGGGAGUGUUAUAGCCCGUUGCAUAAUACCCUUCGGCGGGCUGAGGUACGCGCUCCGCAAGGAUGCUGGCAUAAUGGUCAUCAGCGACCCGUCUUGAAACACGGACCAAGGAGUCAACCUUAUGUGCGAGUGUUCGGGUGUCAAACCCCUACGCGUAAUGAAAGUGAACGCAGGUGAGAGCUUCGGCGCAUCAUCGACCGAUCCUGAUGUUCUCGGAUGGAUUUGAGUAAGAGCAUAUAGGGUUGGACCCGAAAGAAGGUGAACUAUGCGUGUAUAGGGUGAAGCCAGAGGAAACUCUGGUGGAGGCUCGCAGCGGUUCUGACGUGCAAAUCGAUCGUCAAAUAUGCGCAUGGGGGGCGAAAGACUAAUCGAACCUUCUAGUAGCUGGUUCCCCA
rnacentral:rRNA from 1 species